CUCAGGAACGAACGCUGGCGGCGUGCUUAACACAUGCAAGUCGAACGAUGAACCACUUCGGUGGGGAUUAGUGGCGAACGGGUGAGUAACACGUGGGCAAUCUGCCCUGCACUCUGGGACAAGCCCUGGAAACGGGGUCUAAUACCGGAUACAACCACUGACCGCAUGGUCGGGUGGUGGAAAGCUCCGGCGGUGCAGGAUGAGCCCGCGGCCUAUCAGCUUGUUGGUGAGGUAACGGCUCACCAAGGCGACGACGGGUAGCCGGCCUGAGAGGGCGACCGGCCACACUGGGACUGAGACACGGCCCAGACUCCUACGGGAGGCAGCAGUGGGGAAUAUUGCACAAUGGGCGAAAGCCUGAUGCAGCCGACGCCGCGUGAGGGAUGACGGCCUUCGGGUUGUAAACCUCUUUCAGCAGGGAAAGAAGCGAGAGUGACGGUACCUGCAGAAGAAGCGCCNGGCUAACUACGUGCCAGCAGCCGCGGUAAUACGUAGGGCGCAAGCGUUGUCCGGAAUUAUUGGGCGUAAAGAGCUCGUAGGCGGCUUGUCACGUCGGUUGUGAAAGCCCGGGGCUUAACCCCGGGUCUGCAGUCGAUACGGGCAGGCUAGAGUUCGGUAGGGGAGAUCGGAAUUCCUGGUGUAGCGGUGAAAUGCGCAGAUAUCAGGAGGAACACCGGUGGCGAAGGCGGAUCU
rnacentral:rRNA from 1 species